UUGUCCCACUUUCUUCGACCGUCCCUGAACACACCGUCUCAGUUUCACACGCUGCACAAACAAAUACUUUAGUCAUCUCCAAGAUAGAUUCACGCUGGUAGACUACUUUACUGUAUUUUAACCCUUUUUCUUCACUUCACGUUUGCUCCCAAAUGCCGAUACUUUGUGGGAAUGCAUAAAGAGCAGAACACUUCCUGAGGGAAACGAGGGCUACUUUCUCCUGCAUGCCUCCUCCAGGAUGGAAGUCCUGCACAAGCGAGGCCUUGUGUUGGGCAAGGAGACCAGCAGAAACUGAAUGAUGUAGACGCGGACGACAGAGCCCGACGACCAAGCUAAAGGCUAUAUCAUGACUCUGAUUCCAUCUCUUCAUAGAUCACCUUACAUGAACAUUAAUUUGUGAUUUAUGACAAGAAGAUUCCAGAAGAUACCUGUGUGGUCACUGAAGUCAUCGGCGAAAGAGACGGGGGUGACCAGAACAUGUGGAGAACCAGGUGCACAUGCAUGCUCGCUAACCGCUAGUCUCAGCGUCAUUCACAGACAGAAGAGUGGAUACCUAUAGCUCUCCAUUUCGCUACAAAAACAAGAUGCUGGUUUGCCGUCAGUAUUUUUUCCCUGAGGACUGGAGCACACGUCUUGUGCUGAAAGAUACAGCCAUCCCAAGGAGAGUGAACUCGUUAUAAUGCACUGAAAAGGGAACGAAAUAUGUGUUCAUGUUUUACAUCAGGGUUGUGAAUGAUGAGCAAAUUUCAAAAAAAUAGUGAAACUUUUCACAUUCUUUUUUUCCAUAACAUUUUGGACCUGUUUUUUGUACAUUGACAAAGUCAACACCCCUCGUUCUGUUACCAUAUGCUAAUAUAAUAUCGUAUUUUCCGGACUAUAAGUCACAGUUUUUUUCAUAAGUUAGCUGUUCCUGCGACUUAUAAAUGAAAAAACUGUUGCUGGACACUUUUUUAUGUUUAUGUUUAUUUUUCACGUAGCUGUACCAUUAUGC